CAAGCCGUUUUGUGGUGCCCA
rnacentral:miRNA from 1 species